GUGCUCGAUUCGGCAGAACGUAUACUAAAAUUGAAAUGAUACAGAGAAGGUAUUAGCAUGGCCCCUGCGCAAGAAUGACACGCAAAUUCGUGAAGUGUUUCAUAUUUAA